CCCCCCCCCCCCCACCAAGCUGCCCACCAGAGGCUAAGCUGUACUUGGUGUUUGCCAACAUGCUGUAAUUUCCAGCCUGGUUGCUGUAGCCACAGAGGAAUUUUCAAGGACAAGAACCAGUGCUGGUAAAACUGUGGUCUCUGUGGUUUUCCAUACCGGCUCUCGGCAAGGAUUUUCAAGAAAGGAAUACCAUCUCCAAAUCAUGAUGUGCCAAUAAGCUCCAGUUAGCUGCGGCCUUUUCCCCAGGCGGUAGUCCUGCAAUCUGAACCAGGAGAUGCAGCUCUGAAUCCAAUAUUUCAGAAGAAUGAAGAUGAAGCAGACCCAGGAGGAACUGUCUGUUGAAGACCCCCCCCCCCCCCACCAAGCUGCCCACCAGAGGCUAAGCUGUACUUGGUGUUUGCCAACAUGCUGUAAUUUCCAGCCUGGUUGCUGUAGCCACAGAGGAAUUUUCAAGGACAAGAACCAGUGCUGGUAAAACUGUGGUCUCUGUGGUUUUCCAUACCGGCUCUCGGCAAGGAUUUUCAAGAAAGGAAUACCAUCUCCAAAUCAUGAUGUGCCAAUAAGCUCCAGUUAGCUGCGGCCUUUUCCCCAGGCGGUAGUCCUGCAAUCUGAACCAGGAGAUGCAGCUCUGAAUCCAAUAUUUCAGAAGAAUGAAGAUG